UACGUAGGUCCCGAGCGUUGUCCGGAUUUAUUGGGCGUAAAGCGAGCGCAGGCGGUUAGAUAAGUCUGAAGUUAAAGGCUGUGGCUUAACCAUAGUACGCUUUGGAAACUGUUUAACUUGAGUGCAGAAGGGGAGAGUGGAAUUCCAUGUGUAGCGGUGAAAUGCGUAGAUAUAUGGAGGAACACCGGUGGCGAAAGCGGCUCUCUGGUCUGUAACUGACGCUGAGGCUCGAAAGCGUGGGGAGCGAACAGG
rnacentral:rRNA from 1 species